GUCACUAGUACCGGAAUAAUAUUCGCUUGGGGUUCACCCAGAGUAGGGGGAUCACCCCAGUAUAUGUAUGUCACUAGGACAGGAACCAGAUUCGCUUGGGGGUCACCCAGCGUAAGGGGGGUCACACCUGUACCACAAUGUCACUUUGGAGAGGUGUCUGCCACGCUUGGGGGUCACCCAGCGUAAGGGGGAUCACCCCUGUUAAUCACUCCGUUAUGUGCCUCCACUACUGUGUCCUGGGAGGUGUAUCCCUGUGGGGAAGGAGUGUAUCCAAUGGUUGUGAGGUCCAGUGGGAGUAGGGAGCGGAGUAAGAUAUCAGCUCUAUUUAAUUUCCCUGCCAGUAGAUAGAGUAAUGCAUCCACUAUAUACCCACAGCAGGGGACAGUCCAUUCA